GGUCAAGGUGUUUCCCUCUCCAAGAGGCUAACUCCUGCCCUGCUCAGGAACAUGGCAACUUGGAAGAAAAGCUGGGGUGACUGCCUCAGGUUUUUGUGGAGCAAGCAAUGAUUAUUUCUUUUGCCCGCCUUUGGCUGUCUACAUAU